AGAGUGUCCCUUUAAAGCAGCUCUGACACACCCAUUCCAGAAAUGAGUAAUUUCAUAAAGGUCGAAUCCUUAUGAAAUACUCACAUUGACUGUUGGAAUUUGACUGAAAUUCCAACCUAGUCAAAAGAUAUACAGAGACAAAGCGUAGUAUUUUUCCUACGCUUGACCAAACGAGGUAACUGCCGCUAAGACUUGCCAUUUCUUCCAGCCAUCACUAGUGAAAAAAUAAAACUUUAAGGAAAAAAGCUCCUUCUCAGGAUCCUCAAUAGACCACACAUACAUAACAGCAUUGACAUCGGCUGCUGGCAGCUGAAAAGGAGUGGACAGAAGAGAAUGGUGGCGCCCGCAAG